rnacentral:rRNA from 1 species
CCUACGGGAGGCAGCAGUGAGGAAUAUUGGUCAAUGGGCGAGAGUCUAAACCAGCCAAGUCGCGUGAAGGAUGACGGAUCUAUGGUUUGUAAACUUCUUUUAUAUGGGAAUAAAGUGAUGAACGUGUUCCUUUUUGUUUGUACCAUAUGAAUAAGCAUCGGCUAACUCCGUGCCAGCAGCCGCGGUAAUACGGAGGAUACGAGCGUUUUCCGGAUUUAUUGGGUUUAAAGGGAGCGGAGGUGGUUAAUUAAGUCAGCGGUGAAAGUUUGUGGCUCAACCGUAAAAUUGCAGUUGAAACUGGUUGACUUGAGUACAGUAGAGGAGGGCGGAAUGCGUGGUGUAGCGGUGAAAUGCAUAGAUAUCACGCAGAACUCCGAUUGCGAAGGCAGUUUACUAAACUACAACUGACACUGAGGCUCGAAAGCGUGGGGAUCAAACAGGAUUAGAUACCCCAGUAGUC